CAGUGUGCUCUAUGAUUCUAAAAGGUUACGGCUCGGUCGAGGUAGGGCUCAGAUCAUUGGUCGGAGCCAGCUCCCUUAAUUUACAUAAGAGAAAACAGGCCGGGAGAGUUUGUGGCUUGCCUGGGACCAUAGCACGCGCUUGGUGGCAGGCGCCCCUAACUGUUCAUCUCUCCCGGGGAUGGAUUUGAUUGUUUUAGCGCCUGCUCUAGAAGGUUGAGGUGACAACGAUAACUCACAAUUCGAGAACGAGAAUAGAAGCUGCCACCCACGGGGGCGCAAGAUGUAGAAUGAGAUGAACGCUUUUGGACAUUUCUUGCCCUUGCUCACUGAACCCUUCUUUGUAACAAGAAGCAAAACCGAACCAUAUAGAGCAUGGAUAUGCAACACUCUGCAUCCACAGGCUCGGACCUCUAGUGAGGGGAAAGAAUUCUCAGAUUAAAUAUCGCAUCCUGACAUGAACAUAAAGAAUCAGGCAUGGAUGUCCAGCAAACCCCA